rnacentral:tRNA from 1 species
GUCUUCAUAGUGUAGUGGUCAUCACGCUUUCUUCACACGGAAGAGGUCCGCGGUUCGACCCCGCGUGAGGACA